rnacentral:rRNA from 1 species
CUCAAAUCCGGCAGCGUAAUUCAAGGGUGUGCGACGAGUGGCCUUGUGCCGCGAAGCAAUCGGAAGUGGUUCCGAGAAAAGCCUCUAAGCUUCAGUCUAACGAGACCGUACCGCAAACCGACACAGGUGGGCGAGAUGAGUAUUCUAAGGCGCUUGAGAGAACUCGGGAGAAGGAACUCGGCAAAUUGGUACCGUAACUUCGGGAUAAGGUACGCCCUUGUAGUUUGACUGGCCCGCGCCAGAAGGACGAAGGGGUUGCAAUAAAUUGGUGGCUGCGACUGUUUAAUAAAAACACAGCACUCUGCAAACACGAAAGUGGACGUAUAGGGUGUGACUCCUGCCCGGUGCUGGAAGAUUAAAUGAUGGGGUGCAAGCUCUUGAUUGAAGUCCCAGUAAACGGCGGCCGUAACUAUAACGGUCCUAAGGUAGCGAAAUUCCUUGUCGGGUAAGUUCCGACCUGCACGAAUGGAGUAACGAUGGCCACACUGUCUCCUCCCGAGACUCAGCGAAGUUGAAAUGUUUGUGAUGAUGCAAUCUACCCGCGGCUAGACGGAAAGACCCCAUGAACCUUUACUGUAGCUUUGCAUUGGACUUUGAACCAAUCUGUGUAGGAUAGGUGGGAGGCUUUGAAGCGGGGACGCCAGUUCUCGUGGAGCCAUCCUUGAAAUACCACCCUGGUUUGUUUGAGGUUCUAACCUUGGUCCGUUAUCCGGAUCGGGGACAGUGCAUGGUAGGCAGUUUGACUGGGGCGGUCUCCUCCCAAAGUGUAACGGAGGAGUUCGAAGGUACGCUAGGUACGGUCGGACAUCGUGCUAAUAGUGCAAUGGCAUAAGCGUGCUUAACUGCGAGACUGACAAGUCGAGCAGGUACGAAAGUAGGACAUAGUGAUCCGGUGGUUCUGUAUGGAAGGGCCAUCGCUCAACGGAUAAAAGGUACUCUGGGGAUAACAGGCUGAUUCCUCCCAAGAGUUCAUAUCGACGGGGGAGUUUGGCACCUCGAUGUCGGCUCAUCACAUCCUGGGGCUGUAGCCGGUCCCAAGGGUAUGGCUGUUCGCCAUUUAAAGUGGUACGUGAGCUGGGUUUAAAACGUCGUGAGACAGUUUGGUCCCUAUCUGCCGUGGGCGUUGGAAAUUUGAAGGGGGCUGCUCCUAGUACGAGAGGACCGGAGUGGACGAACCUCUGGUGUACCGGUUGUCACGCCAGUGGCAUUGCCGGGUAGCUAAGUUCGGAAGAGAUAACCGCUGAAAGCAUCUAAGCGGGAAACUUGCCUUGAGAUGAGAUUUCCCGGAGCUUUAAGCUCCUUGAAGGGUCGUUCGAGACCAGGACGUUGAUAGGCUGGGUGUGGAAGUG